rnacentral:rRNA from 1 species
AGAGUUUGAUCCUGGCUCAAGACGAACGCUGGCGGCGCGCCUAGCACAUGCAAGUCAAACGAGAGAGAGGAAGCUUGCUUCCUCAAUCGAGUGGCGAACGGGUGAGUAACGCGUGAGGAACCUGCCUCAAAGAGGGGGACAACAGUUGGAAACGACUGCUAAUACCGCAUAAGCCCACAGCUCGGCAUCGAGCAGAGGGAAAAGGAGCAAUCCGCUUUGAGAUGGCCUCGCGUCCGAUUAGCUAGUUGGUGAGGUAACGGCCCACCAAGGCGACGAUCGGUAGCCGGACUGAGAGGUUGAACGGCCACAUUGGGACUGAGACACGGCCCAGACUCCUACGGGAGGCAGCAGUGGGGAAUAUUGCACAAUGGGGGAAACCCUGAUGCAGCGACGCCGCGUGGAGGAAGAAGGUCUUCGGAUUGUAAACUCCUGUUGUUGAGGAAGAUAAUGACGGUACUCAACAAGGAAGUGACGGCUAACUACGUGCCAGCAGCCGCGGUAAAACGUAGGUCACAAGCGUUGUCCGGAAUUACUGGGUGUAAAGGGAGCGCAGGCGGGAGAACAAGUUGGAAGUGAAAUCCAUGGGCUCAACCCAUGAACUGCUUUCAAAACUGUUUUUCUUGAGUAGUGCAGAGGUAGGCGGAAUUCCCGGUGUAGCGGUGGAAUGCGUAGAUAUCGGGAGGAACACCAGUGGCGAAGGCGGCCUACUGGGCACCAACUGACGCUGAGGCUCGAAAGUGUGGGUAGCAAACAGGAUUAGAUACCCUGGUAGUCCACACCGUAAACGA